GGUGGCUCAGUGGUAGAGUGCUUGCUUCGCAUGCAUGAGGUCCUGGGUUCGAUUCCUCAGCACCA
rnacentral:tRNA from 1 species